GAAGCUGCUUCAGCUGCGGGCACAGAAGGCAGCACUCGGGACAGUCCCCACCAUGGCCUGGGCCCCUCUCCUCCUCACCCUCCUGGCUCACUGCACAGGGUCCUGGGCCCAGUCUGCGCUGACUCAGCCGCCCUCGGUGUCUGGAGCCCCGGGGCAGACGGUCACCAUCUCCUGCUCAGGCAGCAGCAGCAACAUCGGGGGUGGGUAUGCUGUGCAGUGGUACCAGCAGCUCCCAGGAACGGCCCCCAAACUCCUCAUCUAUGGUGAUAGCAACAGACCCUCGGGGGUCCCUGCCCGAUUCUCUGGCUCCAAGUCUGGCAGCUCGGCCUCCCUGACCAUCACGGGGCUCCAGGCUGAGGACGAGGCUGAUUAUUACUGCCAGUCCUAUGACAGCAGCCUGGGUGCUGUGUUCGGCGGUGGGACCAAGCUGACCGUCCUAGGUGGACCCAAGGCCGCCCCCUCGGUCAGUCUGUUCCCACCCUCCUCUGAGGAGCUCCAAGCCAACAAGGCCACACUGGUGUGUCUGAUCAGCGACUUCUACCCGGGCGCCGUCACCGUUGCCUGGAAGGCAGACGGCAGCCCCGUCACCCAGGGCGUGGAGACCACCCAGGCCUCGAAACAGAGCAACAACAAGUACGCGGCCAGCAGCUACCUGAGCCUGUCAGCCGCCCAGUGGAAAGCUCGCAGCAAGUACAGCUGCCAGGUCACGCACGAAGGCAGCACCGUGGAGAAGUCAGUGUCCCCUGCAGAGUGUGCCUAGGCCCCGGCCCCCACCCCACCCUCGGGGCUGGAGCUGCAGGAGCCCAGGGGAGGGUGUCUCCUCCCUCCCAGCUCAUCCCAGCCCCUGCCCUGCACCCAAUGAGCCCUCAAUAAAUAUCCUCGUUGUCAAUCAGAAA